rnacentral:rRNA from 1 species
GAUGAACGCUGGCGGCGUGCCUAAUACAUGCAAGUCGAGCGAACAGACGAGGAUCUUGCUUCUCUGACGUUAGCGGCGGACGGGUGAGUAACACGUGGAUAACCUACCUAUAAGACUGGGAUAACUUCGGGAAACCGGAGCUAAUACCGGAUAAUAUAUUGAACCGCAUGGUUCAAUAGUGAAAGACGGUUUUGCUGUCACUUGUAGAGGGAUCCGCGCCGCAUUAGCUAGUUGGUAAGGUAACGGCUUACCAAGGCGACGAUGCGUAGCCGACCUGAGAGGGUGAUCGGCCACACUGGAACUGAGACACGGUCCAGACUCCUACGGGAGGCAGCAGUAGGGAAUCUUCCGCAAUGGGCGAAAGCCUGACGGAGCAACGCCGCGUGAGUGAUGAAGGUCUUCGGAUCGUAAAACUCUGUUAUUAGGGAAGAACAAAUGUGUAAGUAACUAUGCACGUCUUGACGGUACCUAAUCAGAAAGCCACGGCUAACUACGUG